rnacentral:rRNA from 1 species
GGUGGAGGAUAAUCUCGGGAAACUGAGAAUAAUAUUCCAUAGAUUUAGGAUGCUGGAAUGCACUUAAAUUAAAAGCUUCGGCGCCUAAGGAUGAGUCUGCGGACUAUCAGGUUGUAGUCAGGGUAACGACCUGACUAGCCUACGACGGAUACGGGUUGUGAGAGCAAUAACCCGGAGAUGAUAUCUGAGACACGAUAUCAGGCCCUACGGGGCGCAGCAGGCGCGAAAACUUCGCAAUGUGCGAAAGCACGACGAGGGAAUCCCAAGUGCUGGCUCGUUAGAGUCAGCUGUUUUUAUGUCUAAAAAGCAUAGAGAGUAAGGGCUGGGUAAGACGGGUGCCAGCCGCCGCGGUAAUACCUGCAGCUCUAGUGGUGGCCGCUAUUAUUGGGCCUAAAACGUCCGUAGCCUGUUUAUUAAAUGCCUAGGUAAAUUGUGUGGCUUAACCAUACGAAUUCUGGGUAGACU